GGCAUCGGCCGGGAAUCGAACCCAUGCCUCCCGCGUGGCAGGCGAGCAUUCUACCACUGAACCACCGAUGC
rnacentral:tRNA from 1 species